UUACGGCCAUGUAGCGUUGAAACAUCGGUUCCAGUACGAUCACUGAAGUUAAGCAACGUCGAGCCUGGUCAGUACCUAGAUGGUGACCAUUUGGGAAUAAAAGUUGCUGUAA